AGAGUUUGAUCCUGGCUCAGAUUGAACGCUGGCGGCAGGCUUAACACAUGCAAGUCGAGCGGGGAAAAGUAGCUUGCUACUUAACUUAGCGGCGGACGGGUGAGUAAUACUUAGGGAUCUGCCUAUUAGUGGGGGACAACAUUUCGAAAGGAAUGCUAAUACCGCAUACGUCCUACGGGAGAAAGCAGGGGAUCACUUGUGACCUUGCGCUAAUAGAUGAGCCUAAGUCGGAUUAGCUAGUUGGUGGGGUAAAGGCCUACCAAGGCGACGAUCUGUAGCGGGUCUGAGAGGAUGAUCCGCCACACUGGGACUGAGACACGGCCCAGACUCCUACGGGAGGCAGCAGUGGGGAAUAUUGGACAAUGGGGGGAACCCUGAUCCAGCCAUGCCGCGUGUGUGAAGAAGGCCUUUUGGUUGUAAAGCACUUUAAGCGAGGAGGAGGCUACUCUAGUUAAUACCUAGGGAUAGUGGACGUUACUCGCAGAAUAGGCACCGGCUAACUCUGUGCCAGCAGCCGCGGUAAUACAGAGGGUGCGAGCGUUAAUCGGAUUUACUGGGCGUAAAGCGUGCGUAGGUGGCCAAUUAAGUCAAAUGUGAAAUCCCCGAGCUUAACUUGGGAAUUGCAUUCGAUACUGGUUGGCUAGAGUAUGGGAGAGGAUGGUAGAAUUCCAGGUGUAGCGGUGAAAUGCGUAGAGAUCUGGAGGAAUACCGAUGGCGAAGGCAGCCAUCUGGCCUAAUACUGACACUGAGGUACGAAAGCAUGGGGAGCAAACAGGAUUAGAUACCCUGGUAGUCCAUGCCGUAAACGAUGUCUACUAGCCGUUGGGGUCUUUGAGACUUUAGUGGCGCAGCUAACGCGAUAAGUAGACCGCCUGGGGAGUACGGUCGCAA
rnacentral:rRNA from 1 species